GACGAACGCUGGCGGCGUGCUUAACACAUGCAAGUCGAACGAAGUGGCGAACGGGUGAGUAACGCGUAAUCAACCUGCCCUUCAGGGGGGGACACCAGUUGGAAACGACUGCUAAUCCCGCAUACUGAAGGAGGGGAUUGCGUCUGAUGAGCUCGUGGGGGGGGUAACGGCCCACCAAGGCGAUGGUCAGUAGCCGGUCUGAGGGGAUGAACGGCCAAAUGUGGACAGGGACACGGCCCAGACUCCUACGGGAGGCAGCAGUGGGGAAUCUUCCGCAAUGGACGGAAGUCUGACGGAGCAACGCCGCGGGAGUGAUGACGGCCUUCGGGUUGGAAAGCUCUGUUAAUCGGGACGCGGUACCGGAAUAGAAAGCCACGGCUAACUACGUGCCAGCAGCCGCGGUAAUUC
rnacentral:rRNA from 1 species